GGUCUAAUAGUGUAGAGGUCAUCACACGGGAUUUUGAUACAAUACAAUACUACUUCCCGUAACCCAGGUUCAAGUCCUGGUUAGACCU